rnacentral:rRNA from 1 species
CACGUAGGGCGCAAGCGUUGUCCGGAAUUAUUGGGCGUAAAGAGCUUGUAGGCGGUUUGUCGCGUCUGCUGUGAAAUUUCGGGGCUCAACCCCGAACUUGCAGUGGGUACGGGCAGACUAGAGUGUGGUAGGGGAGACUGGAAUUCCUGGUGUAGCGGUGAAAUGCGCAGAUAUCAGGAGGAACACCGGUGGCGAAGGCGGCUACCUGGACAGAAACUGACGCUGAGGUGCGAAAGCGUGGGGAGCAAACAGG